GGUGGUUCUUGGGUGACGUACCCCAGAAUUGGGCUUCCUCCUCUCUGGUUUCGGGUGCAUCACCUGAGAACCACA
rfam:Myotis davidii contig151152, whole genome shotgun sequence.